UAAUGGCCUCUUUUGUAUGUGGGAGACCAUGGUGUUGAGGGGAGGCAGUUACACAAAAAACCCAGAUACCGAGUGUUAGUUCCAUGGGUGUGGCUGGUCAUGGUGCGCACUCACGAAGGAUGUAGGUGAUGCCCUCCACUCCGCAGAGCCAGUCCCACAGGGGUACCCAUUCUGACUCCUACCACCGCAGCUCCCUACCUCCCGCCUGCCAUGGGUUCCACGUGCAUGGCUCUGGGCAGUCUGUGUCUUUGCGUGCGUCUGUGUAUGUCUGCGUGUAUCUGCUUACAUUCGCUCAGCAUCUGAGAUUCACCCAGGCUUUUGCGUGGAUCAGCGGCAGACUCCUGAUUGCCGCGUGGCGGCCUGUUGUGUGGGUGUGUGCCGCGUGUGUAUCCAGUCCCUACUCAGGAGUGUACGUUUCCAGUGUGGGUUGCAGUCAGGAUCCAUUUCUCCCUUAACUUUCAGAUUAUUUGCUGCAUAGGCUUUUUUCUCCUAAUUUGGCGCCUUUGUCAGAAAUCAACUGACCUACCUGUGUGGGUCUGUUUCUGUUUGUCCUUACGCUCUUGCCAUUGCCACACUUUAGACAAGGUCUUGCUCUGUCCCUCAGGCUGGAGUGCAGUAGCGUGAUCUCAGCUCACUGCACCCUUGACCUCCCAUACUCCAGCAAUCCCCUCGCCUCAGUCUCCUGAGUAGUAGCUGCGACCACAGGCGUGUGUCACCACACCCGGCUGAUUUUAUUUUUUUUAUUUUUAUUUUUUUUGUAGAGACGGGGUUUUACUAUGUUGCCCAGGCAGGUCUUGAUCUGGGCUCAAGUGAUGCUCCUGUCUCAGCCUCCCAAACUACUGGGAUUACAGGUUGUAGGUGUGAGCCAUGGUGCCCGGCCGCCACACUGUCUUGGCUACAGUUGGGUUUAUAAUAAACCCUGAAUCGAGGUGAUGUGCAUUUUCCAACUCUUCUUUUUAAAGAUUCUUGUGGCUGUUUAUGUCCUUGGUGUUUCCAUAUAUGUUUUACAAUCAGUGUCUCAAUUUCUACCAAAAAAACAUGCCUUCUGGAAUUUCAAUAGCAAUUCCCUUGAACGCAUUUUUGAAUACCUUUUCUGAAUGUCUUGAAUACAUGUUGGGAAGAAUCGGUGUCUUAACAGUCUCCAGUGUCCACGCGUUGACUGCCGUGUGUGACUCCAGUCGGCGUCUCAACAGUCUCCAGUGUCCACGCGUUGACUGCCGUGUGUGACUCCAGUCGGCGUCUCAGCAGUCUCCAGUGUCCACGCGUUGACUGCCGUGUGUGACUCCAGUCGGCGUCUCAGCAGUCUCCAGUGUCCACGCGUUGACUGCCGUGUGUGACUCCAGUCGGCGUCUCAGCAGUCUCCGGUGUCCACGCGUUGACUGCCGUGUGUGACUCCAGUCGGCGUCUCAACAGUCUCCGGUGUCCACGCGUUGACUGCCGUGUGUGACUCCAGUCGGCGUCUCAACAGUCUCCGGUGUCCACGCGUUGACUGCCGUGUGUGACUCCAGUCGGCGUCUCAACAGUCUCCGGUGUCCACGCGUUGACUGCCGUGUGUGACUCCAGUCGGCGUCUCAACAGUCUCCGGUGUCCACGCGUUGACUGCCGUGUGUGACUCCAGUCGGCGUCUCAACAGUCUCCGGUGUCCACGCGUUGACUGCCGUGUGUGACUCCAGUCGGCGUCUCAACAGUCUCCGGUGUCCACGCGUUGACUGCCGUGUGUGACUCCAGUCGGCGUCUCAACAGUCUCCGGUGUCCACGCGUUGACUGCCGUGUGUGACUCCAGUCGGCGUCUCAACAGUCUCCGGUGUCCAUGCGUUGACUGCCAUGUAUGACUCCAGGUAUUGAGUUCAUCUUCAACUUCUCCCAACAAUGAACUGGAGUUUUCUGUG
rnacentral:lncRNA from 1 species